CGUAUGCAUGCAUGUGCUUGUCUCGUUUCUCAUCCCUACUUCUUUCCCAAUUGCACAAGCCGUGGUAGAUUUACGUUUGGAGAGCGAGAUAGCGCAAGCGAAACACAGAAACGAACGAAGUGAAUCGCGUCAAAUCACGUAACAACGAGCGUGAGUGAAACGCAGCGGCACAGGCAGCCUUCUAUCGGUGAGGUUUUGUGCGCUCCGCGCCGUCAUCGCUGCGAAAGCCUCACACCUGUAUUGGGGGAGGGCGUUUGCAUCAUCAGGCGCACUUUGCCACAUCUCGUGCUCGGGCGCCUACUCUGGGACGACGUGGGCACGAGUGGGCCCUGCGCUACACGUACGAUUCGUGUUUGGUUUUCAGUGAGAGCAGCGCAAGACAGCGAAAGAAUGCUGCGCCGCAGCUUUGCACCGUUGCUGACCCGCGCGACCGCUGUGUGCCUGCAAGGCUGGGGUAAGACCGGUGGUGGCGGCGGCUGGGGCAGCGCUGGCAACUCGACCUCCGCAGGCGGCUGGGGCAGCGCUGGCGACUCGACCUCCGCAGGCGGCUGGGGCAGCGCUGGCGACACGACCUCCGCAGGCGGCUGGGGCAGCGCUGGUAACUCGACCUCCGCAGGCGGCUGGGGCAGCGCUGGCGACUCGACCUCCGCAGGCGGCUGGGGCAGCGCUGGCGACACGACCUCCGCAGGCGGCUGGGGCAGCGCUGGUAACUCGACCUCCGCAGGCGGCUGGGGCAGCGCUGGCGACUCGACCUCCGCAGGCGGCUGGGGCAGCGCUGGCGGUCGCGGCCGCGGUUGCGGGUCGCGUGGAAAGAGCGGCUGGGGCGCUAAGGAGAGCUCUGAUGGCUGGGGCGGUGGGCGAGGCGGCGGUCAGUCGGGCUGGGGUGGUGACGGUGGCUGGAGAGACGCUCCGACCGGAGGCCGGCAGCGCGGUGCGCGUGGUAACUUUCGGCGCGGCCGCGGUGGCAGUGGUGGUGGCGUAUGGGGACAGCCAGCCGCCGCUGACGAGGAGGCUUGGAAUGCAGCACCGCCCAGCUUCCAACCACCGGUGCGCCGAGUUGACCCGCUGACGCUUACGGCGGUUGAGGUGGAGGUCGAUGGGGUAAAAAAGCUAGUUGGGCAGCGCGUGCAGGUGUCGGGCUUAUCAGACGAAACCACAUGGCACACCUUGAAGGACCACCUCCGGCAGGCCGGCGACAUCACGUUCUGCCGCCUCUUCUCUGGAGGUCGGGGCAUGGUGGAGUUCGCUGUCCCCGAAGAUGCCGCCCGCUGCAUCACGGAACUGCAGGCUUCUGAACUGGAGGGAGCUACGCUGUACCUUCGCGAAGAUCGCGAGGAUACCGUACUCAUCAACACGAGACGCAAGAUCCGAGAUGCCCGUGAUGCUCAGCUUCGCGCGCGCAAGGCGGAGGCCGAGAAGUCGCGCCGCGAGAAAGCGAUAGCGCAGGGUGACGUCCCCAACGACUCGGCAGCAGCGCAGUGAUGCCCGUCGGUGAUGCGCGGCAGUCCUGGCAGCCCUCUUCCCUCUUUAUCACCUCGGUUCUUUAUUUUUUCUUGUGAACCACGUCCGCGCUACUCUCGUGUAGUGAUGAAAGGCAGUGAUUUAACAAGGAGCAGCGAAACCAGCCAUGCUGUGCAGACGCGCGAUUUGAUCUGUACGAGAUCACAGGCUCCUCUCACGCUCUUGCAGCAGACGCGUAUGCUUGUCUGUUCGAGUAUCUGUAGAGGUGCAUGCUGCGCGUUCAACAGUACCGAGUACGCAGCUACCUGAGCAGCCCGAAGCCGUCUGCUCGUGUGCGCUUCCCGCCGUGUCGCGUCUCUCAGUUCGACUGUCAUGUUUUUGAGUGUCCAACCUCUGGUGGCGGUGUUCGUGCUUGGAUGCUAACAUGUUGUGCAGCGGCGUUUUCGUUGGUCAACCUUCACCCCCUCCCAGGGCUUUCGGCACAGUGCCGCUGGUACUCGCUCACUUAGUUGUGUUUCGUGUGUUACCAACGGCGCCCCCUUUUUCCUGCGCAUUGGUUCUUUUUCAGAUCGACGAGACCUAGGCGAACCAUGAAAGGGGGUGCGCGACGCGUAGGGACCUGUGAGGAGGCAGGGUAGGAGGGAUAGCUGAGUCGAGCACAGAAGAGAAGCAGCGACCACAGUUGGCAGAGUGGCGAGAGCAUUGGUGACAGAACCCACGCGCACUGGCGUUUUGCGUCUCUCUUCGAUGCGCCGCAACGUCG
rnacentral:misc_RNA from 1 species